AGAUUCUUUUUAGAAAUAUUGCAUCCUUGGACGAUUGGACUGUGUCCAGUCCACAGCAAUGGCAGAGAGACGAUGGAAGGAACUGUGGUGUUUUCGUAUGCACAAUGGCAGAGAUGGAAGCUAAAAGUAUUAAAAUGUGCCAGGAAAUUCUGCACACUGAACAGAUGGGAUACCUUCGUCUUUACCAUGCCUCAUGCAUGGUGAAAUAUCUGCAACCAGAGGACUUUCCCCCCGAAGUCAAAAUAGUCCAGAGUGCAACACAGACCAGCUGUAUGGCCCAGGAUGUAGGAGUUUGCAUUUAUCAAAAAUAUCAAUCAAAAGUAAUGCACCCACAAAUCCAGUCACUGGACUGGAUUCAGUGUGACCUUUGCAAAAAAUGGCUGCAUUCUGACUGUGCUGGUAUCAGCCUUGAAACGAUCACAGAGGAAACAUUAUUUAGCUGUGGAUGUGACACUAACCAUGUGCAUACCUUUGAGAAAACAUUGGCACUCUUGAAGAACGGCUGGUUGGUUGACCUUGUAAUACAGGAUCAAGAGGUCUUGAGAUUGCACAAAGGCUUGAGAAAUGGCACAAUCCGAUCCAGCAGGAUGUUUUUAUUUAAACAUCCCACAUUUUCUCCAAAGCUGAGGAUGAAACUUAGCAAAAAGUUUUGUUUUUUUGAUGAAGAACAGACAGAGAGGAUAAUUGAAAGAAUAUACACAAGAAUAUACACUGCCUAGGGUUUCCCUGGACAACACAACUUACGUUCUUGAAGUUUUGACCCCUGAGGUAUAUAUACAGACACUUUGAUACAGUACAUGGGACAAUAUCAUUAAAUGCACUGUACAUAUAUCUUUCAUAAUUGUAUCUUCUUGUUUUUUAAAGCUAACACUGUUAAUGCUGCAGAAGACUGAGGGCUUUUACAGGUUCCAGGCAGAAAUGGCUUUACAGUCAAACAUUGCUUUGGAGGUGAAAUGUUCAAAUCCACCAUGGUUUUGAUGGCACUUCAUCAGUAGAAGUGUCAUCCUGUAUGAAGAGGGAGGCCCGCUGAACAACUGUACUUUUGGCCCAAAGUUCUAGUAGCCCUGUCCCCAUAUUCUUUCACAUUUCUCCAGUGGUUUAUAAUAUCACUGACAUUAAAGACUGUAUGUAAACAUU